GUAGUCUCGCACAGAUGCAUAUCAAUAAGCGGAGGAAAAGAAACUAACAAGGAUUCCCUCAGUAACGGCGAGUGAAGCGGGAAGAGCUCAAAUUUGAAAUCUUCAAGGUUUUACCUUGACGAAUUGUAGUUUAAAGAAGUGUUUUCUGCUGAAGUUUUGGUAAAAGUUCUUUGGAAUAGGACAUCAUAGAGGGUGAGAAUCCCGUAUUUGACCAUUAUUUUCAGCUUUGUGAUACACUUUCAAAGAGUCGGAUUGUUUGGGAAUGCAGUCCAAAAUGGGUGGUAAAUUUCAUCUAAAGCUAAAUAUUGGCGAGAGACCGAUAGCGAACAAGUACCGUGAGGGAAAGAUGAAAAGAACUUUGAAAAGAGAGUUAAACAGUACGUGAAAUUGUCAAAAGGGAAGCGUUUGACACCAGUGUUGUUUUCUCGAAAAUCAAUUAAAAAUGGCUCGAUUUUGUAUUGCUGAGACCUUAAAAGCUCACUGUACAUUUUUCGUGUCUUUUUUAAUGCACUUUUCGUUUAACAAGUCAACAUCAGUUUCUUUUGUUGUAAAAGGGUCAUUGGAAGGUGGCUUUCUUUUCGGAGAAAGUGUUUAUAGCCUUUGGCCUCUGCAAUCGGAGAGACUGAGGUCUGCAGCGUAGACUCUUCGGGGUUAGAUACAUUUGUGCUAAGUUAUAGCUUUUUAUAGACAACCUUGUUGACUAUAAUUAGUCUUGUAGCUUACUCGCCUUAUGCUAUUUUACCUACGCUUAGGAUGUUGAGUCGUAGAGCACGCAG
rnacentral:rRNA from 1 species